rnacentral:rRNA from 1 species
AGAUUGAACGCUGGCGGCAUGCCUAACACAUGCAAGUCGAACGGGAGUAGCAAUACUCUAGUGGCGGACGGGUGAGGAAUACGUAGGAAUUUGCCCUUAAGUGGGGGAUAACCCGGGGAAACCCGGAUUAAUACCGCAUGACCUCGAAAGAGCAAAGUGGGGGAUCGCAAGACCUCACGCUUUUGGAGAAGCCUACGUCGGAUUAGCUAGUUGGUGAGGUAAUGGCUCACCAAGGCGACGAUCCGUAACUGGUCUGAGAGGAUGAUCAGUCACACCGGAACUGAGACACGGUCCGGACUCCUACGGGAGGCAGCAGUGGGGAAUAUUGGACAAUGGGCGCAAGCCUGAUCCAGCAAUGCCGCGUGUGUGAAGAAGGCCUUCGGGUUGUAAAGACACUUUAAGUAGGGUAAGAAAAACGUACGA